CGCUAAAGUCCACAAAUAUCUUGCCUCUUUGUUCUCCUAGAGAGAGGGACAAUGGGGAGAAAAGGGAUCCGCCACCGCCGCCUCUUCCAUAGGUUCGUUCCUUGCAGCUGCGCAACCACGCUGCCGCCGGCUGGCUGGCCACCAUGCCGCCACUACCGCAGCUCCCUCUACUUCCUUCCCUUCCUCCACCUUGGUGUUACCACGGGGUAAGAGACGCAAAACCUAGGCCCGGUACCUGGGAUUGGUUGGCCUCCCGGGCGGAUGUCGUUGACUUCCGCCGUCGAUUCUGAGACCAGCAGUGCUCCCUCCCAACCCCUCGCCUCAUGCCUACACCAAUCUUCGCCGCUGCUUGAUGACAUGGAGGUGAACACCACUGCAAUCAUGGCGCGCCUUCUCUGACCAACGUUCUCUCAUGUCAGAUCUUUUUUCUUCCAUUGUUGAUGCGUCCAGGCUUUUGUUGAGUGGCUUUGUUAGGAUCAAUGAACUGUUAGCAUGGUGGCAUUGUUAGCAACAGAUGGGAGGAAUAUUGAGGAUGAAUUACGGGGUUGGGUGUGCUGCUUACCAGGUCGGGGAUGUUCUACCAGGAGUGCUCGUAGUAGUUGUUGUGGAUAUAGAUGAGCCAUAGAGAGUAGGGCAUGUCUCAAAUCAUCAUCAUCUCAUACGGGAAGAGGACGGAUUAAGUUUUUUGUUAGCAACUAGAAAACGGAUUUAGUUGUCAAGCAACAAUCAGCCGUCAACUCCUUCCUCCAGAGAAGAAGGCCCACUCCGGCACAACAGCCACCAACCCCACCGGCGGCUUCUUCAAAAAGGCGGCGCACCACAACCAGAACCAAGCUAAUAUCUUGCCCCCAACACAAGGUAUGGCUAAUCCAAAUUCGAAGGUGCAUACGCUAACACCAUAUGAUCCUUCUCGAUUAAUUGACCAAUUGAACCAACUUUUGUUUUUAGUUUUGCAGCGGACCAGUCGAUGUAAAUUCCCAUAUGAUUAGCCCAAUGCUUUGUCUUUCAUGGUAGUUUCUGAGUGUAGAUUCACAUAUUAGCCUAAUGCUCUGUACAUGAAAAAUAGGAGGUCGGAAGCAACUGUUUGUGUUUGGUUUUUCUUCUCAGAAAAAAAUGAUUUUGGUGUUUCAUAACUAAUUUAAUUCUCAUAAAGCUUUUCAGAACUGAUAUUUUUGGUGUUCGGCUCUUACUGUUACUCGGCUACAAAUGCAGAUACUGAUUUUUGGCCUGAUCAUUUAAGGUUUGUCUCAACUAAUUAGGAAAACCAAAGUAUAUAGUGUUAUGCUAUAGUGAUACUUAAGCUUUAUAAUUAGCCUUAGGGUGAGCUAUAAAAACGGAGCAAGAUGUUACCUACGUACUAUUAGGUAAAACUAAGUUGUUGCUCUAAGUUUCAACUAUAGGACCAGUUCGGUUUAUCUUUGGAUUGUGGGAUGCAACAUGAGGCUACUCGCACAUAGUGUUGUGGUGCAGUGGCUUCACAUCCACAACGCAGGCCUCAGUCCUGAGCCUUUUGAUUUUUCACAAAUUAUGUUUGUUUGUCUCGCUCCAGAUUAACCAAUUAUUUCUUAACCAUCAGAUCCACUAUAUAUAAAAAAAUUAGAAAAACAUGUUUCCUCGAUGGCAAUAAUUAGGCUAAAUUCACAACUUUCUGUUUUUAAAUCUUGAUGUUGGCACUAUGCAAAAGAAAUGUCGACAAUCAGGAUGUAUUUCUGUGCUUACCAUCCUGUAGAUAACUAUGAACUAUGUUUGCUAAAAGGUUUGCUAUUUUUUUCCACCACAUAAAUUUCGACAACACUGCGUUUUCAUGUACCAGAACUAAUCAUGUUUCUUGCUUUGUAUGCACAUACAUAUUAAUCAUGUCUAGAAUGAACAAUACUUGAUAUGCUCUUCUGUUUGUAAGCUCUGUCAAACAUUUGUUUUGUUUCUCAAUGAUAUUAUCUACUCCUUCUGUUUGGCUUCUGUGUUAAAUGUGAAAUCAACCCAUCCAAAGCCACUAAUAUCACAAUACUUUUAGUCUAAUUGAAUUUCUCAUGGUCAUAUGCCUUCAGAAGUGUAAAACUGAUGGCGUAAUCUUCUUUGCGGUUCAAAAUAAAUACCCAUCCUUGAAGCUCUGAAGAAGCUUCAUCGGAGCUCUCAAGAACUGAGAAUACGGAAAACAGAAUACAACGCUUCUUGCACAUUGGAAGUGCUGGGCAACAAUGAUAUAUCCACUAAUUGUAAGUUCAACAUUUAUUCCAAGUUAACUUAUUUUCAAUUAGUGCAUAUGGCUACUCAGUUGGAAUUAUGCAUUAGAACAAAACAGUUCAUUCAUCUUUCUGAUGCAUAGUUUCCCCCCUUUUUUAUUCUUCUUUGCAAUUUCUCCUUAAUUUCAAACUAUACAACCAUCUCACUCAAAGACCAACAAUGCAAACCUUCUAUGGAGUCACCCGAUUAAGAAACCAACUGGCCACUCUGUAGAGAAACAUUUGUUGCCAAUGUACAACUCCAUACAAGAAUGUUUGCUUUUUGGCACUAUCCGUUGCAUUUCAGCUACACGCGUUAUCAGGAAACAAGAUAAUUUCCUGCGAUAGCAGCUAUUCCUACUUGAAUAGGAUGCAUAGGUGAAGUUAUGCCCUUAUCUUGCUAUGGAAUUAAAACAUUAUGGCACGCAUUUCCAGUCGGUGAGCAUAUGUAGCAGAGACAUAUGCAUCAUAUGUACCAUAAUUCCUUACUUUUAGUGUGGGUGCUUUCUGUUAUGUUCACAAGGUAAGCUAUAAAGAGUUGAGAUACCGGGCUGUUUACUCUUAUUUGUGUGUUGUAAUUAAUAUGCAAAGUGACCUGUUGUGUUUUCCCAUAAGUUGUUUCCAUCUUUCUUUGUGGGACUUUGUCAAGCCUUCCUUCAAGGAGCACCCAAGUAUGUUGAGCCUGAUUUCUAUAUAACUGAGGAGUCAUAUGCUUGGCAUUACAUUCCUGCCCUUGAAACUCGCAUGCACAAGGGAAAUAGGUGUCUUUUAUGUUCGGUAAAAGCACCAUUCUUUUGUGCGAAGAAACAUUUGUUCGAAAAUCAGCUUCUUCCUUUUAAGUUGUUGGAUAGGAGAUUACUUCAACUGAAACAUGUGUUGUUUGUUCUGUAUCCUCAUUAAUAUUGCUAAUAUUGUGUUUCCUGUAUAUCAAGAUGGCUGAAGAGCUUCCUCUUUGUGACCCUCUAGACAAGUUUUAUAAAGAUUUCUGUGGGGUCAAUCCGAUGAAUGAUGAUAUGUGCCUUGUGGACAUAUGCGCCACAAAGUCUAUACUCACGGAAGUGAAAUGUUUCCCCUCUCGUUGAGAAAAGGGAGAUAUUUUAAAUCGCUAGACGCGAUGAGAUAUGGAAAGCACAUUAUCUAUGUAUCAUCUGGAUUGUACUAGACAUACGACACAACCCAUAGCACAUGUUGCGUAUGAGAUAGUUUUCCAGAGUGUUUCGUAGAUGACAAACUUGGCAUACUCGCCUUGGUCGUCAAGACAUUGGGUUGAAACCGAAACUAUCAGCAAUUCCAUUGGUUUAUGAUUAUUAUGGUGCUAAA